GGGCCGGCGCCAUCCGCCGCCGCGGGGAGGCCGCCGCCGCGCUGCCGUGGGCGAGGCGCGGCAGGGCCUGGGGGGCACCCGGAGCCUGGCCCCAGGGGCGGCCCCAGGCACGCCCCUCUGCCAGCCUGCGAGGCCUGGAGGCUGCCCAGCUUGCAAGGUGCCAUCUGAUUACGUUGUUCCUUUGCAUUUUAAACACCGAGCUUCGUUCUCAAGCUUUUCCCCUUAAAGAAGACAGCCACUACCAUGCUUAUUUUCAAACAAGCACCGAGUUUUGUCAGUCGCUUGGUCACAGGACCUGGGAGAGCACUGGACAACCCUCAAGACAAAAUUUACAAGAAUCGGUCUGCCCUGGCCAUGCACACCAGUCAACCUGGGGACAGGUUGCGUGCAGCACUGCGCUCGUUGCUUCCUCAGGAAGGCCAGCCUGUGUGUGGCUGACAGCGCAAAGGUGGGUUAAAAGCUGCUUUUUCCAUUUCCCUGACAUUGCUGGAACACCUGUGGCCUUAUCAGGAUCCUUAUGUAGCCUUUGCCUUUUGCCCCACGAUAUCUAUGCACUUGCACACCCUCAGAUUACAAUAGGUACAGGUUGGAAAGGUUUGUGCCUGUGCCCUAACCUUUCCUCACACCUGCAUCCCUGUGCAAUCGUGGCUUAACAGAAACCUAAAGUCACCUCCUUAGGAGAAGCUGUAAGUCGGGACUUGUUAAAACCUGGCUUAUGAAAUCUUCUGGCAGCAUCAGCAGCUGCAUCUUCAGUUUCCGAGAUCUGGAACUAGGAAUGACCAGGCUUCCUCCAAGGACGCUCGUCCUGGGUAGGUCAGCUGUCCCACUGAUUUCUUCCAGAGCUAGAAUGGUAAAAUGGGUCCUCUGAAAGGAACCAGGGAGAGAAUGUUUCUCCUAAAUGUAAUUGCAGCACUGCUUUUGUCAUUUUUUCCUCAGUCUCUUGGUGAGUUUGCCAUUUUUUCUCCCUCGAGCCCUGCCAAAACGUAGGCAGAGAGGGGUACAAGCAAAAUCACUUCUGUCCUGCGUGUCUGCUUCCUUUGCUGCUCAGGAGCUUUAGCAGAGAUCUUCCUGAAGCAGCCCAGUUCUGGUGUCUUGUUUUCUGUGGAAAGUAUCUCCCUUAAUCUUUGUCUUUCAACUUUCAAGAACAGAGCUUUGAAAUUCAUACCAGAUCAGCUGCCACAUACUUGGCAUGACCUCCUCGAAUCCCUGCUAAUCACACUGUAUACCAGCACUGCCCCAGAUAGCAGAUCGUGCUGUUUCUCAUUAGGUCAAGCUGGUGAGCUUUCUGGGAGUCGAGCCAAAAGAACAGUUACCAUAGUUUAUGGUAGCCCAGUGGAGCUUUCUUUCCAUGAAAAAUGGAAAAAAUGGAAUAGAAGGUGCUCUAGAAAUAAAUCACCGAGAUCUGGAAGCCUGAGGUCAAAAUGAUUAAGACUGCUUUUCAAUUACCAGAACCAACCAAACAAGAAAACACCACCCCAUACACACACUAAGAAGCCGGUUAAUUCAAAUCUGAUUAAAAAGCAAGCAGCCAAGAGCAAGGACGUUGGAAAUACACAACGAAGCUCACACGUCCAAAUCUGUCCCACUGCUUUAUCCUAAGGUACAGCAGCUGGUAAGAAGGAAAACAUGAUUCAGGGUCUUGCGCUCCUGGAGUUUAUUUGUGUCAUUAUCCCCAGUCGUUUCAUUAUUACCAAAAGCUUAAAAAACCACAAGAGAUUAGCAAGACCGUACGGGAAGUUGGAGCAGUUCUGCUCGCUGUAUGUAUGUAUGUUGUAACCACUAAUUGGCCAGGAAACCAUGAAAUGGGCUCGGCGGCUCAAAGCUGGUGGGAAGCAAAGAGGCAUAUGCUGAUCAACAACACCAUGUUCUGGCUGCCUUCACUGAGCUCACCAAAGCUGUUUUGGAUCUUUUCCUCAGAAAAAAAUACCUUUUGGGAAAUUAAAAGACAAAAAAGUGCCUGACAGCACAAUUCUUUCCUUUACAAAACGAGUAAUUUAAAACUUAUCCUUAAAAUAAAGCUUCAAAAGGUAACUGUGUUCUGUGUAGGGCAGUGCUGGGGUGGGGGAAGAAGGGAGGGACAUUUAAAGGUUCAAAUUUAAACCCAGCAACUCAGAUGCUUAAUUCCCAGAUAACCCCAGAAUAAAGUUAAAAUAUGGUUCCUGCGAGCCUGCUCUUAACCAGAUCCACCACUGAGGGAUGCUGUGCUCUGCGUCUCAAUCAGCUGUCGUCUUGCCAGCUUUUCCAGGAGGCCGGCUGAUGUGGUGUGGCUGUUGAGCACCCGUGUUGUGACACCCAGGCUGUGGAAAGAAUGGUCUCUGAUGCUGCCUUGCCUUGCUCUCCAGCAGCAGUCACAGGCCCUAGCAUUGCACAGGAAGGCAGCUGCAGGUCCUAGGUGCACACAGAAAGGUGCUCGGAGGCCCCUGGGCUGCACAGAAUGGCCCUCGGAGGCUCCUUGGAUGCACAGAGGGGCACUUGGGGCACCUUGCAUGCACAGAACAGCCCUCGGAGGCUUCUUGAAUGCACAGAGGGGCACUCGGAGGCCCCUGGGGCACUUCACCAGUUUCUGCAGCCUCCAGUGAAAGCAGGAUCUGUCAAGCUGCUCCCUCUGAGGCUGUACAUCUUCCCCUAGCUGGGAUGUCCAGGGCUGCGUAGGGUGGGAGAGAGGGCUCCAGGGAAGCCGCUGGAUUUUCCUUCUUGCAAAACAAUGUCUGAAGUGAAGUGGCAGACCCUGGCAGGCACACAUGAGGCAUUUGUUGCUCCGUGUGAUGGGAGCAACCUGCUUUCUUCAAAUGACCCUGACGUGCCUUGGGAAGGGGAUGAAGACACACUGCUCCUUUUGGGAAUCUCAGAGCCCUGCUGCCCGGGAGCGAGACCUUACUUUGCCCAGGGUGGGGAAGGAGUCUCCUGAGGGAGCAGGCGAGGGUUGGGAUGGGGCCAGGAGACUCUUCCUGCUUUCCAGGUUGGAUUUGUAACGCCCUCCUGAGAUGCAGGACAGGCACACCAUGCACCUUCAGAGCAGUGAAAUAUCUGUCCUGGAGCUGUGGCCACGUUUGAGGAAGACAACUCCAAGAGCCUGUUUCAGAAGCCCUGCAGGCAGAAAUGUUGCCUGGAGCUCCCCUGGGCCAGGGCCAGCAGUGAGGGCAGGAGACAGGGGACAGAGGAAAGAGGCAACUCUCUGGGGAGCAUGGAGGAAAUUUUGUUACAUUUAUUCAGCCUGUCAUGGGGAUGGAGUUGCCGGAGGUGUUUGGAGAAAGCCCCCCUGGAUCUGGAGCAUGGAGCAGCCCCUGGGGACAUCUCAUGGUCCAUUUGCUCCCUGAGACUGUUUGGGAAGCUGUUCUCCUUUGCUAAAGGUGUGGGUAUGAGUGGGUGCCCAUGCUUGCCCUGCAGUCCCCAAGAGGUGGAAAAAGUUUUGCCAUCAACACCCUGCGCUCUGUGGCGAUGUUGGAAGCACAUUUGGAGGGCCUGGCUGUCACUGAACCUGGUGGGGAUGGUGCAGCCCCUGGUGAGCGGCGCUGUCAGCGCUGGGAGGGAACCCUAGCCUUGAUUGGCACUGGGCUUUGGAGCUGCUGGAGCUGUGGGCACAGGGACACCAUUUCCAGUUCUGGUUAAAGAUACAAAGAGUGGCUUUUUCCCCCCCUGAGACCUUGUCUGAAGAAGCAGGGGCUGGGCUUCAGCUUCAUAUACCUCCAAGGGCUGCCACAGAAGCUGGGGGCUGCAUAUGUGUCUUGAUCAAGAGCUGCGCCCAGAAGGAACUGAGUAGCAGCUGGGCAUGGCAGCCACUGCUGGGCUGCUUUUCUUCCAGGAAAUAAAAACUGGAGCAAGCCACAACUGAGACAAGGCGGUACUUGAUUUAUUUACUGCAUUGUUUAUUUAACUGCUGCUAACAGCUCUGAGAAAGAGGCACCCCCUCCUUGGCUCUCCAAAUCUUUGUCUUUUCCUGCAGCAAGCUCUUGCUAGCUACCAGGCUGCCAAGUUAUCCAGCUUGUCACUCUGAUGGGUGACGGCAAGUCCCCCAGACACAUGUAGAUGAUGUAGUUGCUGCAGGAAAACCCUGUGAUGACCCACCAGGCCAGAGCAGUGGGGUCUCGGCUGCCAGGCACAGCUGGUGCCUCCUCCUCACAAUCUGGAUGGGUGCAAGUCUGUCUGGUUGUGGGGCAGGCUGUUGCUGUGGGACAAGGUGGUAGUGACUGGCAUCCCCCUGCCUGUUGCAGGAGCUGUCGUUGCAGGGAUGCUCCCCAGGAGCUGAUCUGGUGCUGCACAGGUCUGGGUAAAACACUGCUCUGGGGCCACCACCUGCAGACCCACAGGCAGAGCAGCCAUGAGUUUUGCAGCCAAAGCUCCCCCAGCUCGACCACCAUUGCAGCACAACUGUAGAAGGGAUGGGCCAAACCAAGCCUUGCACGGCGCGGCUGCCGGUGUGACUGUCCUCUGGGAUGCAGCUGGACCCGCUGGCGGCGGGGAGGACAGCUUCGCUCCAGCGCACCGCUGUGGGUCUGGGAAGACAAGCGCUUUCUGGCUCCCCUUGCCCGCUGCCACCUCCGCGGUGCUGCUGAGCGCCCCGGGCCGG